rnacentral:rRNA from 1 species
CUGGAGGUAUCAGAAGUGCGAAUGCUGACAUAAGUAACGAUAAAGCGGGUGAAAAGCCCGCUCGCCGGAAGACCAAGGGUUCCUGUCCAACGUUAAUCGGGGCAGGGUGAGUCGACCCCUAAGGCGAGGCCGAAAGGCGUAGUCGAUGGGAAACAGGUUAAUAUUCCUGUACUUGGUGUUACUGCGAAGGGGGGACGGAGAAGGCUAUGUUGGCCGGGCGACGGUUGUCCCGGUUUAAGCGUGUAGGCUGGUUUUCCAGGCAAAUCCGGAAAAUCAAGGCUGAGGCGUGAUGACGAGGCACUGCGGUGCUGAAGCAACAAAUGCCCUGCUUCCAGGAAAAGCCUCUAAGCAUCAGGUAACAUCAAAUCGUACCCCAAACCGACACAGGUGGUCAGGUAGAGAAUACCAAGGCGCUUGAGAGAACUCGGGUGAAGGAACUAGGCAAAAUGGUGCCGUAACUUCGGGAGAAGGCACGCUGAUAUGUAGGUGAAGUCCCUCGCGGAUGGAGCUGAAAUCAGUCGAAGAUACCAGCUGGCUGCAACUGUUUAUUAAAAACACAGCACUGUGCAAACACGAAAGUGGACGUAUACGGUGUGACGCCUGCCCGGUGCCGGAAGGUUAAUUGAUGGGGUUAGCGCAAGCGAAGCUCUUGAUCGAAGCCCCGGUAAACGGCGGCCGUAACUAUAACGGUCCUAAGGUAGCGAAAUUCCUUGUCGGGUAAGUUCCGACCUGCACGAAUGGCGUAAUGAUGGCCAGGCUGUCUCCACCCGAGACUCAGUGAAAUUGAACUCGCUGUGAAGAUGCAGUGUACCCGCGGCAAGACGGAAAGACCCCGUGAACCUUUACUAUAGCUUGACACUGAACAUUGAGCCUUGAUGUGUAGGAUAGGUGGGAGGCUUUGAAGUGUGGACGCCAGUCUGCAUGGAGCCGACCUUGAAAUACCACCCUUUAAUGUUUGAUGUUCUAACGUUGACCCGUAAUCCGGGUUGCGGACAGUGUCUGGUGGGUAGUUUGACUGGGGCGGUCUCCUCCUAAAGAGUAACGGAGGAGCACGAAGGUUGGCUAAUCCUGGUCGGACAUCAGGAGGUUAGUGCAAUGGCAUAAGCCAGCUUGACUGCGAGCGUGACGGCGCGAGCAGGUGCGAAAGCAGGUCAUAGUGAUCCGGUGGUUCUGAAUGGAAGGGCCAUCGCUCAACGGAUAAAAGGUACUCCGGGGAUAACAGGCUGAUACCGCCCAAGAGUUCAUAUCGACGGCGGUGUUUGGCACCUCGAUGUCGGCUCAUCACAUCCUGGGGCUGAAGUAGGUCCCAAGGGUAUGGCUGUUCGCCAUUUAAAGUGGUACGCGAGCUGGGUUUAGAACGUCGUGAGACAGUUCGGUCCCUAUCUGCCGUGGGCGCUGGAGAACUGAGGGGGGCUGCUCCUAGUACGAGAGGACCGGAGUGGACGCAUCACUGGUGUUCGGGUUGUCAUGCCAAUGGCACUGCCCGGUAGCUAAAUGCGGAAGAGAUAAGUGCUGAAAGCAUCUAAGCACGAAACUUGCCCCGAGAUGAGUUCUCCCUGACUCCUUGAGAGUCCUGAAGGAACGUUGAAGACGACGACGUUGAUAGGCCGGGUGUGUAAGCGCAGCGAUGCGUUGAGCUAACCGGUACUAAUGAACCGUGAGGCUUAACCUUACAACGCCGAAGCUGUU